rnacentral:rRNA from 1 species
AAAAAAGGUAAGCUACUAAGAGCGAAUGGUGGAUGCCUUGACUGGUAAAGGCGAUGAAGGACGUACUAGACUGCGAUAAGCUACGGGGAGCUGUCAAGAAGCUUUGAUCCGUAGAUUUCCGAAUGGGGCAACCCAAUGUAUAGAGAUAUACAUUACCUAUAUAGGAGCGAACGAGGGGAAUUGAAACAUCUUAGUACCCUCAGGAAAAGAAAUCAAUAGAGAUUGCGUCAGUAGCGGCGAGCGAAAGCGCAAGAGGGCAAACCCAGUGCUUGCACUGGGGGUUGUAGGACUGCAAUGUGCAAGAGGUGAGUUUAGCAGAACAUUCUGGAAAGUAUAGCCAUAGAGGGUGAUAGUCCCGUAUGCGAAAAACAAACCUUAGCUAGCAGUAUCCUGAGUAGGGCGGGACACGAGAAAUCCUGUCUGAAGCUGGGUCGACCACGAUCCAACCCUAAAUACUAAUACCAGAUCGAUAGUGCACAAGUACCGUGAGGGAAAGGUGAAAAGAACUGAGGUGAUCAGAGUGAAAUAGAACCUGAAACCAUUUGCUUACAAUCAUUCAGAGCCCUAUGUAGCAAUACAGGGUGAUGGACUGCCUUUUGCAUAAUGAGCCUGCGAGUUGUGGUGUCUGGCAAGGUUAAGCAAACGCGAAGCCGUAGCGAAAGCGAGUCUGAAUAGGGCGCUUAGUCAGAUGCUGCAGACCCGAAACGAAGUGAUCUAUCCAUGAGCAAGUUGAAGCUAGUGUAAGAACUAGUGGAGGACUGAACCCAUAGGCGUUGAAAAGCCCCGGGAUGACUUGUGGAUAGGGGUGAAAGGCCAAUCAAACUUCGUGAUAGCUGGUUCUCUCCGAAAUAUAUUUAGGUAUAGCGUUGUGUCGUAAUAUAAGGGGGUAGAGCACUGAAUGGGCUAGGGCAUACACCAAUGUACCAAACCCUAUCAAACUCCGAAUACCUUAUAUGUAAUCACAGCAGUCAGGCGGCGAGUGAUAAAAUCCGUCGUCAAGAGGGAAACAACCCAGACUACCAGCUAAGGUCCCUAAAUCUUACUUAAGUGGAAAACGAUGUGAAGUUACUUAAACAACCAGGAGGUUGGCUUAGAAGCAGCCAUCCUUUAAAGAAAGCGUAAUAGCUCACUGGUCUAGUGAUUUUGCGCGGAAAAUAUAACGGGGCUAAAGUAAGUACCGAAGCUGUAGACUUGAUUUUAUCAAGUGGUAGGAGAGCGUUCUAUUUGCGCCGAAGGUAUACCGGUAAGGAGUGCUGGAGCGAAUAGAAGUGAGCAUGCAGGCAUGAGUAGCGAUAAUUAAUGUGAGAAUCAUUAACGCCGUAAACCCAAGGUUUCCUACGCGAUGCUCGUCAUCGUAGGGUUAGUCGGGUCCUAAGUCGAGUCCGAAAGGGGUAGACGAUGGCAAAUUGGUUAAUAUUCCAAUACCAACAUUAGUGUGCGAUGGAAGGACGCUUAGGGCUAAGGGGGCUAGCGGAUGGAAGUGCUAGUCUAAGGUCGUAGGAGGUUAUACAGGCAAAUCCGUAUAACAAUACUCCGAGAACUGAAAGGCUUUUUGAAGUCUUCGGAUGGAUAGAAGAACCCCUGAUGCCGUCGAGCCAAGAAAAGUUUCUAAGUUUAGCUAAUGUUGCCCGUACCGUAAACCGACACAGGUGGGUGGGAUGAGUAUUCUAAGGCGCGUGGAAGAACUCUCUUUAAGGAACUCUGCAAAAUAGCACCGUAUCUUCGGUAUAAGGUGUGGUUCGCUUCGUAUUAGGAUUUACUCCGAAAGCGAAGAAACUUACAACAAAGAGUCCCUCCCGACUGUUUACCAAAAACACAGCACUCUGCUAACUCGUAAGAGGAUGUAUAGGGUGUGACGCCUGCCCGGUGCUCGAAGGUUAAUUGAUGGGGUUAGCAUUAGCGAAGCUCUUGAUCGAAGCCCGAGUAAACGGCGGCCGUAACUAUAACGGUCCUAAGGUAGCGAAAUUCCUUGUCGGUUAAAUACCGACCUGCAUGAAUGGCGUAACGAGAUGGGAGCUGUCUCAAAGAGGGAUCCAGUGAAAUUGUAGUGGAGGUGAAAAUUCCUCCUACCCGCGGCAAGACGGAGAGACCCCGUGGACCUU